rnacentral:rRNA from 1 species
CCCUUAGAUGUCCUGGGCCGCACGCGCGCUACACUGAUGCAUGCAACGAGUUUCAUUUCUCCUGGGUCGAGAGGCCCGGGUAAUCUGUUGAACGUGCAUCGUGAUAGGGAUAGAUCAUUGCAAUUAUUGAUCUUGAACGAGGAAUUCCUAGUAAACGCGAGUCAUCAGCUCGCAUUGAUUACGUCCCUGCCCUUUGUACACACCGCCCGUCGCUACUACCGAUUGAAUGGUUUAGUGAGAUCCUUGGAUCGGCCCUGUCGCGGCUGGCAACGGCCGCGUCGGCGCGUCGAGAAGACGAUCAAACUUGAUCAUUUAGAGGAAGUAAAAGUCGUAACA